rnacentral:lncRNA from 1 species
UUCUCCCGAAGUGUGUACUCGUUCACUCACCCUCAUGGAUUUAAAUGGAAUUUAUUGGAAGUGGAUUAGGGUGGAAACUUCCUCCAGACAUUUUUGUACCAAUCCAAUGCACACAUCUGGGUGAAGCGUAGAAUCUGAAUCGCAAUAUUCAAUUCUACUCAUUCAAAUUCUAUAAUGUUCCCACUCUCUUGCUAGUUGCUACUCAUUGUAAAGGAAACAAUCAUGCCAUUAUUAUUUCUAAAUGUUAUUGUAAUCUUUCCUUGUAUGUGCAUGUCUUAGCGUCCACUUACCUGUAUAUUAUCUUCUAUUCACAUUGUUUAUAGAAGCCAUUUUCUUUAGAUAAAUAAUUUUGUUGUAUCAAAAGCUUAUUUUAAUUUUUUUUUUUUAAAGAAAGUGUCAAAUUUGAAUGUUACUUUUUGUAAAACCUUUUUUCAAAUGGAUCAUAAUUAAAGUCUGAAUCCUUCCAAUGACAGACUGUGCGUGCGUGCCUGUUUGUGUCAUACUAGUUAUUGUAUGAUAACAGCAAAGAUCUUUCCUCUCUGGUUACAGCAAUCUUUGGUUGCAGUACUUCUGAAAACAAUAGGUGGCAGCAAAGCCAUGUGUGGCAGGAUCACGUCAAUUGACAUCCACGAAGAAGAACGGUUUGUUUUUAACAAUGGUUUUAACGAAGAAGAAACUGCAGGACUUUGCUGGCCCAUUGGAAAACACCCGCUGAAGAACCAAAGCCUCCAAAAGGAAAGACAAUAAAGAAACUUGCUCAAACAUCCCCCAAAAUAACAAACAAUGAACCACCUCAGAAGCACAAAACACAACAGGCAAAGAAAUCACACUGUAGUUACAGCCCAAGAAGAGGAGGAUAAACAAAGCUGCCAAAAUACAGACACAAACAAAGAUUUUCCUCAAAUACCAGCCACAAACAAAGAAGUCUCUCAAAUGCUCCCAAUAAGGGAAGUGGACAUGGAGGUAACUGAAACAUGGGACGCAGCAGACAUUCUGACCUACCAGAUUCUAUGACAUCCUAUGGGUUCUCGCUCGCUUAUUUACACACACCAGUGCACAGUACACAAAUACUUUUCUUUUGUAAAGUUAUGUCGGUGAAGAAUGUUUCAUAAAACAAAGUUAGUUUUCAGAACCAAGAGUUGUACAUAGAUACUGUUUAAAUAGAAAACAAAUGUAGACAUACAGUAUCUCAAACAGAGGUUGUCCUCUACUGGUUAUGACCAUGGUCAGUUUCAGUACGUUGGUAUCAGUUUUAAAUGUAGUCAAAAGUUUUUUCUUAGUUUCACUCCCUGGUAAAUGCAACGACUUGGGACCGUUCAAAGUGCUUACACUAAAGCUGAACAUGCAGAAAACCUGAACAUUUUGAUUAUCAGGAGUGAACUUUACAUUAUUACAUCCUGAGCAUUGCCCCUGUCGUUUAAUGAAGGGUCAAUAAUGUUAAUCCAGCUGGAAAAACUAAAAUUUUGUAUAUAAACAUUGUAAAUAUUUUUGUUGUUGAAUUAUUUAUUUUGUAUAGUUUAUCUCUGGAUCAAUACGUUUAGUGCUAUCCUGGAUCCUUGGGACAUCCCUAAAGAUUAUGGAUAUAGGUCUCUCUACCCUAACAAUGUCGUUGUCCACAAAGAGGCACGGUGGGCUGUCUAGCUCCCGCCUUUCUUUGGAUUGGUGGAGACAUCUCAUUAUUGUAAUCUGUUUUUUAGUAUUUGAUGAGGGUUGUUGACGUCAAUCUCGAGUAUUCAAUGGCGGGAUACACUACUAGCCUUAUAACAUGAAUAUGCAUAGCCAUCUCCGAUAAAACGUGUUUUUUCUCAAAGUUGCUGGGCUGUCACGUGGCCUACUUAUAUCGGUACACUCGUAAGCAUUCCAAACGUCUAUUCGAUCAAAUAGACCUCAGGUAGCAAAUGAACCAUUCAUUGACCUCCAUACAAAAACUUGCAUAGUGGGCGAAACAACGAAAAAACCGCCACCUGUUGGAGGGGGACCGGUUUUCCGGCAAAUUAGGCUACUCUUCCUAUCUGGUUUCGACUUUCCUUUUUUUAAAUGUAUUUAUUUUUAUUUGCUCAUUAGGCUAUUCCUUUUAUUGACAUGUUCAAAGCAGAGCAAUGAAUACCAUUAAAGAUCCCACAUUAGAACUCCGUAACAUGAUGCACAGUAAAUAACCUGCAUCAUUACAGAUAACAUUUUUUAUCCAACAGCAACAUGUUUAUGUGCAAUGUGUUGACCUACGUGUUAAAAAUGUAUCUAUGUCCUCAUCUGUUUUUUGUUUUUUUACAUGUCUGAUGUAUUUAUGUUGUCUGUUUUCUGGUUUAGACGUUCUUUAAAAAAUAUAUUUUUUUAUUAUACAUUUAUUUUACUCAUAAUACAAAAAUCAACUUACAUUGCUACAUCAAACAUGUCUAGCAAACCAAACACAGGUAUUAACAAUGCUCAAACAUACAAAAAAGAAACAAUUUAAGUGCAAUUAUAUUCACUCUGAAAAUAUCUUAUUAUAAUGAUUCAUGAAGAUUAUUAUGAAGGUUAUUCUUGUUGUUAUUCACUAGGGUUAGUGUUUCAAUAAGAUAAUUCAAUUCAAUCAGAAAAAUUGGUCAUUUUGGUAUAGAAUUUUGGAAUUUUCGUUUGUGUAUAAAGUAUUUGGCUACAAGAAUAAAAAAUAAAAAAAGGUUUAGACUUUCCCGUCUACUCACUGUGGUUGUUCAAGCGUCACAUCCGCUUUUGACUUGCUCAUGCGUCAGUGAAUGCGGCGCUAAAGAAACGGAAGCGAGUAGCAGUGUUUCGCUUCACUUGAUAACAUUGUUAGUUAACUAUAAUAAACCAGUUAAAUAUAUAUCGUU